GGGAGUGGGAAAGAGGUGGCAUCGGCGGUUCAAGACUGAGUUUUCUAUCUCUUCAGUGCCUCUUUCAACAAUGAAGAUCAAACCAGGUUUUGUGCAAAUAUCUGCUGAGUGAACUACUUAUUUGAAAAUACAUCAUUGGUUAAUAUUCCCUUUUGCUCAUUGAAAUCUCAAAGACUACAGACCCCGCACAAGACAUUCUGACAUUCCCGUCUUUGAAAUGAAUGACAGCAAUGAUAAAUAUGGCUCACCUCCAGAGAUACAGAUCUCACAACUUCAUAUUUUUAAUAUAAAUUAUUAAUCUGAGGUGUGGUGCAAUUCCAUUAGAUGAAAGAGAUCUACACAUUCAGAAGCACAUGAUUCUUCCCCCUUCCAUGAUUCCAGUGGCCAAUAGACAAACUACAAUAAAGCCAUGCCCUGACUGGAUGUGCCUAACAUUUGUCUGGUGCUUAAAGGAGUUGGCUGCAUGCGUGGAAAUGUUGGAAAGUCACCAAAAAUAGUUCUCCAAGUCAGAAGCGGUGCAAAAGCUGCCUCAGCUCUUGGUGGAUUUUCAAUUUCUCCCAGCCAUCUCUGUUUCGCUAAAGGUUUCUGAAGACAGUGGAAUGCUGUUGAAGACACCACCUUGAUAAAACAAAAACAUCAGCCAAAUUAAAUUUAAAGGAGUUUAAUUGAGCAAAGAAUUAUUCAUGAAUCAAGCAGUCUUCCAAGCCAGAGUAGGCUCAAAUACUCCAGCACAGCCACGUGGUGGAAGAUUUAUGGACAAAAGAAGAAAAGUAACAUAUAGAAAAUGGAAAUGAGGGGAAGCUUUUUUCUCCUCCCCAUCCUGAUCACUAGUAUGAGAAGGGGUGCUAAUGGACCAGCCUUGGCCUUGCAGAUGAAGAUGAUGAAGGAAGAAGAUGUAUAAAGAACCUCUGAAAGAGUCCCAGUUUUACAUUUCAAAGUCUUUUUCCUUCUGUUGUUUAUUGUGUUGGGUUGGAGUGGAGGAUAUUUGAUGGAGAAUUGAUUCUGAAACUUGCCAAAAUAUGGAUAAUACUUUGCUCCUUUUCCAUUGUGGGUUAUCACAAAGAAGAGUUUCACUUUUAGUCAUCUAUUUACAGAUAAUGAAGAUAUUAUACCAUUAUAUGCUCUUGAAUCUGUCUCAUUGUGACUUGGCGAAGAGGCAGUGAAUCUGCCAAAAAGAAGUAGAGCAGCUGUGAAGAUGCCAACACAAUUGAGUACUCUUUCUCUACAUAUUUCUAAAUAUGGCAAUUUAUUGGACACUUAUGAGCAUGGAAUGACAAUGGGGUCAAUUUAACCAUACGGCAAUGCUGAGACACCUUCAUUAUGACCUUUCCCUGGUAUAAGUUAUGUGAUAAUGAAUGCAUGUUUAGUCACACACUGUAGGUACAGAUGGGAAAAAAGAAAGCAUAAAAUAUAAAACAUGA
rnacentral:lncRNA from 1 species